AUGUACCGCCGUUCUGGGGUAGCACCACUCUGCCCAGCCAACAAAGGGCCUCUGGCUGGCAGGCGCCUGCAGCAUCUUUUGUCCUUGGAGCAGCUAUAUACCUUCUUCCCACAGCACCCGAGGGAAGGGAUUGCUCUCUUACACUGUGUCUCUGAGCUCACCAAGGGCUGGCUCCCCCUUAAUCCCAGGUGGGUGUACAGGGCAGCAGGCCCAGUCCCAAGAAAGUCCUGCAACACUGGGUCAUCACUCCUAAGGCUGUUUCCAAGUCAGAGACUGACUGUCUCCACUUUUUUCCAUUCCCUGGUCAGUGGUCUGGAGAGUUUUUCUCUUGUUCAGAUGCUUCCACACUUCCACAGCCUGUCUCUCUCUUCCUUUUGUCUCUCUGUGGAAGGAGUUUUCCCUUUGGUCUGUGCAUUCACCACCCAUUUUAUCUCUCCCAAUUGGCAGGCACGCACCUCUGGCCCGCCAAGCUGUCCCCUUGGGCUCCUGGAGAUGUUUCUGUCACUCUGUAGCCCGGAUUCCUGGAAUUCCAAGUCUUUGGCCUCAAUACUGCUGUUUGAGUGAAACGCUCUUUGAUAAGAUAUAAAAAUUCAGUGGUUUUACGACAAAACUGAAGAGAUUAUGCCCAAAUCGUGAACACCAAUGGAACCUUAGGCGUCUACUGUCGGAUGCUGCAGAGCCUAAACCUGGGGCUGCAAGGCAGGUGUGGAGUCCAUAAUGAAGUAGUGAUUUAAGGUCAUUGUGAGGUGAGAAGAAAACAGAACUUAAAAGGAUUUUUCUCUCGUAAUACUGUAUUUUGCUUUCCAAGUAUUGUUUUCUUUUCCUGUUUAUUUGAUUAGUCUAUUUCCUUUGUGCUGACAAACAGAAUGUUUGACAGGUACCUGAGUCCUCUGUUACUAGCAUACUUCAGUGGGAAAGAUUCUGCAGAAAUGGUCCGCCAUGUGAAAAGCACUGCCACCUACUGGUAUUUAUCUCAAACUGCAGCUCAGUUUAGCAUAGCGCUAUGAUUCCAUUACCCUGGGGAUUACAAAACCAGACCAUUCCAGAAUGAAUAAGAACUUUGGAGAGUUUUCAGUCAUUGAUUUGAUACUCUAACUUUACUGCUGAUGCAGAGUACAGAGAGGUUUUUCACUGGUAAGAUACACAUCACUUAGAAAGUAAAUGUGCUCCUCUUGCCCAGAAUUAGAAUGUCUGCUGUUCACUUAAUUAAAAAAACAAAACAAAACAAAAAAAAACAAGUUUUUUGCUCAGGGCAUUAAACUCUGUGAUGUAUAAGGACUUUAAAAACAUUUUGAUCCUACAUUUAGUAAUCUAUAAUUUUAGAAAACAAACCAUAUUUAGGCAGAUAUAUUGGAUAAACCCAC
rnacentral:lncRNA from 1 species